UCUAAUAUGGCAGAAAAGUGCCAUGGACUUAAACCCCAUUCAUAAAGCUUAGCUUUUUUUAGAA
rnacentral:tRNA from 1 species